AGUGUAGGCGGUUACUUAAGUCGGAUGUGAAAUCCCCGGGCUCAACCUGGGAAUUGCAUUCGAUACUGGGUAGCUAGAGUUUGGUAGAGGUAAGUGGAAUUCCGGGUGUAGCGGUGAAAUGCGUAGAUAUCCGGAGGAACAUCGGUGGCGAAGGCGGCUUACUGGACCAAAACUGACGCUGAGGCUCGAAAGCGUGGGGAGCAAACAGGAUUAGAUACCCUGGUAGUCC
rnacentral:rRNA from 1 species